rnacentral:lncRNA from 1 species
UUGGUGGUCUUAGUGUAGGGGAAAGUCAGAGCUUUAAGCAACGUCGUCUUGAGACAUAUCACUCGGUUCGUCCGCUUAGUGGGGCCGACCUUAUUCGAAUCUGUUUAACCAAAAAAUAUAAUUUGGUCAAAGCUCGAAUUUAGAGAAAAGAAAUCGGAUUACUGAUAAUCUAUGACCAAAAUAAUAGGCUUUCAGAAACUAAAUAUAAAGCACUAAGAGUUUAGUAUUUCAGUAUGAUAUCAAGAAUGUUCUGUGUCCUUACAAAUGAUGAAACUUCCUCCUUUUAUAGCUGACAAGGAGUAAUGUAUUGAUCUAAAUAAUAAAGAUCAUUUAAUGAGAAGUUACAUAAUCAUUGCUAUUAAAUACUGAUUAACUAACGUAUCAAGUAUUUAAUAAUGAACGUAGACUACUUUUUGUCAUCAGAUUCUUGUCUUCAGUGCCCUUUUUAUCCGUAUAUAUUAAAUGACUUGAAUAGACACGAGACUCAUAUCUAAGAUUCGCUCUCGUGUCUGUUUUGUUUUCUUUUCCCGUGCAUGUUGUCUUCCGUUCCUUUCAAUCAUUUAUUUCUCUUUGACUAAUUGACCAGUCCACGUGUCACGACACAUCAUCUUUAGUUCAAAUUCAGUUUUUUCCAAAUACAGAUUGUCCCUCCACUUCUCAUUUAUUUAUCAAUUAAAUAAUUGGGAAGUGGAUCCAAAAAAAGAAUUUUUGUCUCAAUUAAUGCUUGUGUCAGUAUCGAUGUCUCAUCUGUCUUUCUCAUUUAAUGCUCCAUACACGUGUCACCUUCUGAUUGGAUCUGCAGUUUUGUACCCACUUUUCUAGGCUUAUUCAACUUCCUCUUUUACGAAGUGAUAGUUAUCUUUAAUAUAGGCUUUCCAUCAUUACACCUCUUAAUUUGACGGUUGCUUCCAUAUAACCUUUUAAUUCACACUUCCUUUGUCAUCUUCUUCGUCAAGCAUUCCUUUACGUUCUUUUACUUCUCCUUACUUCAAACUCACUCAACAAUGGCAUCUCCAAACCCUAACCCCGGAAAGGUUCUAGUUCUUGAUCAAUUUCCUGAUUUUACUUCUACUUACUUCAAGAUUAUCUAACAAUGGCAUCUACAAACCCUAACCCCAUAAAGGUUUUACUUCUCGAUCAAUUUCCUAAUGCACCUGCUCUGAUCAAACAUUCAAGAGGCAGAGGAGGAAGACUUCGAAGUAUGGGAUCUACACGUGGAGGUUUAACUGGUUAUGCCCCUCCUUCUUCUGGUUCUGGCAUCAAAGGUUCCUCUUCGAAAACUCAAUCUUCGAAAGGUAAAGAAGUUUCAGACCCUUCUAUAGAACCCACAAUUGAAGAAAUUAUACCGAGUGAUUUAUCUUUUGCAAGUGACGGAACAUCCCUCCAAAAGCAAAUUGUGAAUUUGGAAAUGACCGAUUCUUAUCCUUCUCUCAUAACCAAACUCACAAUCCCUACCAUUAGAAGAGAUUGCAACUGGAAAGAGAGUGUUCGUUUAUCAGUUCCUUCUUUAAACCAAAGAAUUUCAUCUUAUAGAAAUGGAUUUUCUUUUGUUUACACCUACCCCUUCACUUUGGGGUUCAAACCUGCUAUAGAUCCAGUUAUCCUCGAUUUCUGUAGGUUUUCCAACACUUGCUUAGCUCAAAUUGGCCCUUUAGUUUGGAGGGCUGUAGCUUGUUUGAGAUUCUUGUCUUCUAAGGCAAAAAUCAAGUUUCUGUAGGUAUUUCAACAUUUAAUUAGCUCAAAUUGGCCCUUUAGUAUGGAGGGUUGUAGCUUGUUUGAGAUUCUUGUCUUCUAAGGCAAAAAUCAAUUGUACCUUUUUCCCAUCUUAUCCACUUGUACCAUCCUAGUUUACCGCGCCAUGGGGUUUUUACCUUAACUGCAAGGAGUAACAGAGUUUUGGUAAACGCCGAUGACGAUAAAGAUCGUGGGUGGUAUCUUCGUUAAGUGGUUGUUCAUACAGUGGAUUUGCUGGGAGAAUCAAACAUUCCCUUCCCUGAGAAGUGGAAUUUUGCACAUAAGUUUCCACUUACCUUUCCCGUACCUAUUUUCUGGGGUUUUGAAUUUAUUCUAAACUUAUCCCUUUAUGGUUUUUUGUAGCAACCAUGGGUGAUGUGGAACUUGUUCCCAACUUCCGUGGUUGGGUAGAUUCAAUUUUGAAAAUUGCUUCUAAGGAAGAUAGGACUUGGAAGUCUAUUUCCUCCUUACAUGGGUGGAAAGUGAAAACACACGGUAUAUUUCUCUUUUAGUGUAUGUUUCUUAGAUAUAUCUAUAUAUAUAUAUUGAAUAAUAAACCCAAACCUUUAUUUUUAUCAGGAUUUGGGAUAAAAGGGAUGGCAGCAGAUGUUGUUUUAGCUAUGCGCACUACUACCAACACCUCCCUUGGUUUGGACAAGGCUAAAGCACUGUUAGCCAAAAGAAAAGCUAUGGUAGUGGAAACUGAGAAUGAGGAAGAAGAUAAUACCUCAUUUGUAUCUAGACCAAGAGUUAGGAGACGUGUUAUUAUGGAUGAAGAAAUUGAAGAUUCUCCUGCUCGUAUCUCUUCUGCAAUUACUUCUUCUGCGGUUACUUCCACUACCAAGCCUGUUUUAAUCCAUUUUGAUGAAGAUCUGGCACCUAGAGACACGAGUGAACCUGUUCAACAUCUCUUCAUGAGUGGUUUCGAAAGUGGGGAACUUGGCGAAAUUUCUUUAUCUACUUCUGCUCAUAUCUCUCUUGUUUCUUCUAUUCCUCCUCCAACCGUGUCUGUUUCUUCCCCUCAUACAUCUUCUACUGCUCCUUCAUUUACUUCAAAUGUUCCUUCUUUCGUUCCUUUUUUAGCUCUCGUGCCUAUUCCUUCAGCUCCUGCUUUGAUUUCUGCUUCUGCUGUUUUCACCUCUUCUACUACUCCUCCUUCCACUAUUUCUUCUUCCUCUGUUUCUCAUUCUGAAUUUGGCCCUAAAAACAUAGGUAUGGCUAUCAGAAAGGGUACAUUUGAAGUACCUGCUACCCGUAUCUUAUUGAGGAAGACUGGUGGAGCCGAUGUUUGGCUCGAGCCUCUCAUUAGAGACGUGGAUAGAACGAAGAUGCAAAGCCACAACUGGUAUACCCUAAUGAAUGACAUAGUUCAUUCAACGCUGAAGGUAGCUUCUUUAAACUUGACUAUCUGCUUUUCCUUGAUUUUAAGUUUUCAUUUCUAUGCCAUAUGUUUGUAGGCAAAUUUGAUUGGAACCGAGUUAAUGGGGAGGAUCCCUAUUUUGGAGAAAAAUGCACGUGAGGCUGCUAAGGCUGCUGCUGAUGCUAAUAGAAUAUCUGAAUAAGCAUAGCUUGAGGCUCAAAAUUGGAAGGAACAAUUCGAUGGUGCUUUAGGGAGCAUUGAAGAGUUGCAGUCUACUAAAUUUCAACUGGAACAGCAUAAUUGAGCUUUAUCCUCGGAGUUAGGGAUUUCCAUGGCUUCCACGAGCCAAGUAAGAAAGGAUAAAGAGAUUUUGAAGGAUUAUUUGUCAAAGGCUAAUGAAGAAAUCCAAGAACUCAGAGCACUAAUGGAGUAAAAAGAAGAAUAAGCCAAGGAAUUAGUGCAGACUUUGAACCAGAUCUUCAGAUAAGGUUCGUGUAUUGGAGAGUUCCUGUGCCAACCUUCAAACUUCCCUUGAUUCCCACCUAGCUGAGCAACAAACAAUGAAGAACACCCUUGCUACAUGGGGAAGGGAUUAUGAAAAUCUGGAGAAGGGUUACAAUUUCUUAGCAGAGAAUUUCAAUUAUGAGGUUAAUUGGGCUUUCUUGAAAUCUCAUCGUGAUGCCUUGAUGGAGGCUUCUCAAGAAAAUUUUGACUUGCAAUCUGAGUUGGCUAGAGUUUUAGACAUGAUUGAGAACAAUGAGCAACCUAUUGAAAUUCCUUCUCCUGACCAGGUAAUUGACAUUUCCUCUCCAACAAUUGGAACUCCCGGGGUUAAAGAGCCUUUGAACUUAGAGUCAACUGCUGAAGUUGUUGAAGUUACGAUUCCAGUGACCGAGGGUAAUUUAUCUAUGACAUGGUCUUUGGGAAUGGAAAUCCCAGUUACUACUAUUUCCCUCGAGAAUAUUGAUAGCGACCGAGGGUAAUUUAUCUAUAACACAGUAUUUGGGAAUGGAAAUCCCCGUGACUACUGCUUCCCUCGAGAAUGUUGAUACUUCAAACUCAGCUUAGACUGCUUCCAUUGCUGCUCCUAUAGAAGUUUCUACCGAGCCUAAUGAGGAUGCGACUUCUAAUGUUCCAAUCUCCUCAGUGACCAGCGAAAAUGUUUAACCUUACCUCUUUUAUUUGUUUCUGAUGAUGUAAAUUUAUUAGUGAAGUCCCCAGUUUCUAUAAUGCGG